rnacentral:rRNA from 1 species
CGGUAGCGGCGGACGGGUGAGUAACACGUGGGUAACCUACCUAUAAGACUGGGAUAACUUCGGGAAACCGGAGCUAAUACCGGAUAAUAUUUCGAACCGCAUGGUUCGAUAGUGAAAGAUGGUUUUGCUAUCACUUAUAGAUGGACCUGCGCCGUAUUAGCUAGUUGGUAAGGUAACGGCUUACCAAGGCGACGAUACGUAGCCGACCUGAGAGGGUGAUCGGCCACACUGGAACUGAGACACGGUCCAGACUCCUACGGGAGGCAGCAGCG